rnacentral:rRNA from 1 species
CCUACGGGAGGCAGCAGUAGGGAAUCUUCCACAAUGGACGAAAGUCUGAUGGAGCAACGCCGCGUGAGUGAAGAAGGGUUUCGGCUCGUAAAGCUCUGUUGGUAGGGAAGAAAGAUAGAGGUAGUAACUGGCCUUGAGUUGACGGUAAGUACGGAGAAAGUCACGGCUAACUACGUGCCAGCAGCCGCGGUAAUACGUAGGUGGCAAGCGUUGUCCGGAGUUAUGGGGCGUAACGCGAGUGCAGGCGGUUCAAUAAGUCUGAUGUGAAAGCCUUCGGCUCAACCGGAGAAUUGCCUCAGAAACUGUUGAACUUGAGUGCAGCAGAGGCGAGUGGAACUCCAUGUGUAGCGGU